rnacentral:rRNA from 1 species
UACGGAGGGUGCGAGCGUUGUCCGGAAUCACUGGGCGUAAAGGGCGCGUAGGUGGCGGCCCAAGUCAACGGUGAAAGCUCGGCGCUCAACGCCGAGUCGGCCGUCGAUACUGGGUUGCUUGAGCACUGUAGGGGCCAAUGGAAUUCCGGGUGUAGCGGUGGAAUGCGUAGAGAUCCGGAAGAACACCAAUGGCGAAGGCAGCUCUCUGGGACGGUACUGACGCUGAGACGCGAAAGCGUGGGGAGCGAACAGG